UACGUAGGGUGCAAGCGUUGUCCGGAAUUAUUGGGCGUAAAGAGCUCGUAGGCGGUGUGUCACGUCGUUCGUGAAAACCUGCAGCUUAACUGUGGGCGUGCGGUCGAUACGGGCAUCACUGGAGUUCGGCAGGGGAGACUGGAAUUCCUGGAGUAGCGGUGAAAUGCGCAGAUAUCAGGAGGAACACCGGUGGCGAAGGCGGGUCUCUGGGCCGAUACUGACGCUGAGGAGCGAAAGCGUGGGGAGCGAACAGG
rnacentral:rRNA from 1 species